UACGGAGGGUGCAAGCGUUAUCCGGAUUCACUGGGUUUAAAGGGUGCGUAGGCGGGUCUGUAAGUCAGUGGUGAAAUCCCCGAGCUUAACUUGGGAACUGCCGUUGAUACUAUAUAUCUUGAAUAUCGUGGAGGUAAGCGGAAUAUGUCAUGUAGCGGUGAAAUGCUUAGAUAUGACAUAGAACACCAAUUGCGAAGGCAGCUUACUACACGAUCAUUGACACUGAGGCACGAAAGCGUGGGGAGCAAACAGG
rnacentral:rRNA from 1 species